GGGCCCGUAGCUCAACGGCAGAGCGGGCGGCUCAUAACCGCUUGGUUGCAGGUUCGAAUCCUGCCGGGCCCA
rnacentral:tRNA from 1 species